UGACUAAGAAACAGAGUAGUAAAUCAGUGGAAUAGAUUAGGUACACAAUACAUAGUAGCAAAUCACAAUUAUUUAGUGUUUGAUAAACCCAAAGAUUCAAGCUUUUGGGACAAGAAAUCACUAUUUGACAAAAACUGCUGGGAAAACUGGAAAAAGGUAGGUCAGAGACUGGGUAUAGACCAAUAUCUCACACCCUACACCAAGAUAAAGUUAAAAUGGAUAUAUGAUUUAGACAAAAAUCUAAAUGGAGCUACCAUUUCACUUUAUCUCUUUUCUUUUUAGUGUGUGUUCAAGUUCUCUUUCACAAAAUGGCUAAUAUGAAAAUAUGCUUUACACUAUUAGACAUAUCAUCUAUGUCAGAUUGCUUACUAUUUCAAGGAGGAGUGAGGGAAGAGAACUGAUGCUAGAUUUGGGCCUUGAUUGUUGGUUGCUCAAGGUUGUGCCCUUUUUACACUUCAGUAAAGUUAAAGGUCACCUGGAGCAAAGACAGAGACAAUGA
rnacentral:lncRNA from 1 species